rnacentral:sRNA from 2 species
GAGUGUUCAAGCGGUUCACCACCUCCCGAACCGCUUGGGUCCGACGGACAGCAGGCUGUCAGUCACUAUCGGAGCCCUGCGCCCCUCAUCCCGUGCUGGGCCAUCUUU